rnacentral:rRNA from 1 species
AUUGAACGCUGGCGGCAGGCUUAACACAUGCAAGUCGAGCGAGCGGCGGACGGGUGAGUAAUGUAUGGGACACUGCCUGAUGGAGGGGGAUAACUACUGGAAACGGUAGCUAAUACCGCAUACUAUCGGAUGUGCCCAUAUGGGAUUGGCUAGUAGGUGGGGUAAUGGCUCACCUAGGCGACGAUCUCUAGCUGGUCUGAGAGGAUGACCAGCCACACUGGGACUGAGACACGGCCCAGACUCCUAAGGGAGGCAGCAGUGGGGAAUAUUGCACAAUGGGCGCAAGCCUGAUGCAGCCAUGCCGCGUGUAUGAAGAAGGCCUUAGGGUUGUAAAGUACUUUCAGCGAGGAGGCGUUACCCGCAGAAGAAGCACCGGCUAACUCCGUGCCAGCCGCCGCGGUAAUAC